AGUGAACGCUGGCGGUAGGCCUAACACAUGCAAGUCGAACGGCAGCACAGUAAGAGCUUGCUCUUACGGGUGGCGAGUGGCGGACGGGUGAGGAAUACAUCGGAAUCUACUUUUUCGUGGGGGAUAACGUAGGGAAACUUACACUAAUACCGCAUACGACCUGCGGGUGAAAGCAGGGGAUCUUCGGACCUUGCGCGAUUGAAUGAGCCGAUGUCGGAUUAGCUAGUUGGCGGGGUAAAGGCCCACCAAGGCGACGAUCCGUAGCUGGUCUGAGAGGAUGAUCAGCCACACUGGAACUGAGACACGGUCCAGACUCCUACGGGAGGCAGCAGUGGGGAAUAUUGGACAAUGGGCGCAAGCCUGAUCCAGCCAUACCGCGUGGGUGAAGAAGGCCUUCGGGUUGUAAAGCCCUUUUGUUGGGAAAGAAAAGCAGCAGGUUAAUACCCCGCUGUUCUGACGGUACCCAAAGAAUAAGCACCGGCUAACUUCGUG
rnacentral:rRNA from 1 species